rnacentral:lncRNA from 1 species
AGUUAUGUUACUGCCCAGAUUAUGGACCUCACCUACAGAUACAAUCUUUGAGGCCUUAGCCCCUGAGCACUGUCCCAAACUUGCUCGAUCAGUAGAGUUAAUUUGCAUAGGUUCCUCAGGUCGAUAAACAGCCUCUUGUGAGUCUGCUGCAGAUGAUGCAACAGUUGCAAUAUUUGCAAAAUGCAUGUUAGUAUCCUUCAUCUAUUGAGUCGAGUCUAGCUUCUCACCAAAACUCUUCUUGACCUCACCAACAGUUCGAUGACUAACAGCACCAUCAACUGAAACAUUUACACCAGCUGCAUGCACAGAAUUGCAUUAUCCAAAAUAGGAUUUCCAGCCUGUGAAAGUUGAGUCGAGUCUAGCUUCUCAUCAGAACUCUUCUUGACCUCACCAGUUUG